CGAGACGAUGAGUUUCUAGAGCUACUGUCGCUGAAGACGUCAUCCUCCACUCAGACUUCUUUUCCCUGUGUGCCGACCGCCCCCUGCUGGCCUUCAGCAGGUAAUCUGUGAAGACUCAGAGGACCAAUGGGAAAAUAUGCAAUGAGCCUCUACAUCAGACAGCCAGGAUUGGUGCGCUGAAGAGAAGAGAACAAAAGAGCAUACUCACAGUUCCUCCCCCUGCUGCACUACUCCUAGAGGCACUUUGACCCCCCCACCCCCCAUCACACACACACAGACACAAAGAGGCACAGAGAGGGGGUGGUGGGAAUCAACGGAGAGACACGUGAUCUGCUCUUCCACCGGACAUUCACAGCAACAGCAACCUGGUCGCCUCAACACAACAGUUUGAGCUCGAGUGAACUGACAGCGGAUUGCUAAAGCUGUUCGAGCAGAAGGAGGGAACCGGUUUGGGGAAUUCACAAUAAGAAACAAGCCUGCAAACAAAAGCAGAAGAAACCAACCCCGAGCACAAGGAGAGGAAACAACACGGAGUAGACAGCUGAAGCCUCUAUGUCUUUAACGUGUUGUGAAAGAUGCAAUUUAACUCUUCAAAACAGCUGCUGCUAAACUCUUUAAAACCAGCUUCACAUUAUCAGAACUGAAGAAAGAGAAGAAAGUGCUAUUUCACCUCAAUGACUCAAUUACAGUCAAACAGCCAGUGUUCCUGAACACACAUUUUACAUCCUUUUUUUUAAAAGAUAUACAGACCUUUCUAUUCAAGUCCAAAAACUCUGUUCUUUAUCUUUAACAUUGUUCCUUCCUGCUUCCUGCUUGAUGUUUAAAUUCAAAAAAUGCCAACUACAGUUUCACUAACUCACCACCAGGUGUCAGCGUGUGACCAGUCCAUGGGUGAGUGGCUCUGCUCUUGCUGUGGGCUGCAUGCAAAACACACAAAAUAUGUUCAACCAAAUACUACAGCUAUGUCCCAGCAGUAAUUUCUCCCAGAAAUUGGGAGAACUAACUAGCAUGGGCUGCCAAGAUUACAGCUCUGAUGUUAGCAUGCAGCUACUUAACCCUCCCGUUGUCUUUGGGUCAAAUUUGACCCCUUUUCAAAAACUUUCUAUCACAAAUUUUGGUUUCUUUCAAACUUUCCAAAAUGACGUAGAUGGUUCCAAAACCACACCCUCAAAAGUUAAAUCAGGUCAUUACUUUGAAUUUGUCAAAUUUAUAGCAGUUGGAGGAAAAAAGAAUUGGUUGAUGAAACAUAAAACAUGACUAAAAUGUGAACAUUUCAUUAAAGAAGAAUGUCUAUUAGAGAUGGAGAAAUAGUGUGUGUGUGUUUGUGUGAGAGAGAGAGCAGGUUUUGGGUGUCUAACACCUACACAUACUAAAAUAACACUCCGCUCCCACACUGCACUGUGCAUAUGUUGCUUUUCAUGCAGCAUGUCCAAUAAUGAUACUGGUCCGGAAAAAAGCUCCAAUUAGGGCUUUGCUCCUUGUUCUGCUGACUGGUUGGAGUUACAGCUACCCUGUGAACCAAGGCGUUUCCUGGGCUAUUGCACCUCCCAGUCCCUUUUCUGCUGGAGCGUCCGGAGGACCUAGCACUGAGAAGCUUGGCUCCAGUGGACCUGCCCCUCAACCACUUGGCCUUGGCGUUGUGAGCUGGCCUGACUCUUCUCUUCCACAGUACCAGGCAGGUGAACUGAUCCAGGAACAGAAAACCUUUUGAGAAAGGCAACUAUGACUCUGAGAGUGAAGAGGGAGGUUCCAUGC